GGUGUUGUGGCUCAGAGGUAGAGCAACUGCCUAGUAUGUGUUAGGCACAGGGUUCCAUCCUCAGCACCA
rnacentral:tRNA from 1 species